rnacentral:rRNA from 1 species
GAUCAUGGCUCAGGACGAACGCUGGCGGCGUGCCUAACACAUGCAAGUCGAGCGAGAAGUUACGAAAUGAAGCUUCGGCAGAAUUUUGUAAUGGAAAGCGGCGGACGGGUGAGUAACGCGUGAGUAACCUGCCCUUAGGAGGGGGGACAACAGUUGGAAACGACUGCUAAUACCGCAUAACAUAUGAUAACCGCAUGGUUAACAUAUCAAAGAUUUAUCGCCUAAGGAUGGACUCGCGU